CAAUUAAGGCUAUGGGCACAACAAUUGAAAAACAAUAGAUUUUUAUGUUAACAUUGCUUUCUAUUGUGAAUGUAUUAUACAUUAUAUUUUAAAAUAUGAUUCUUUAUAAUGAUUACAAUUGGUUCACAUUAGAUUUCAUUGUUACAUAGACAAAUAAUAGAUUAACAUUUGAAUUCAUUGUUACUUUUGGAUUCAGCGUUCAAACCAUUGGUUUACAAUAGAAUGUAUCAGCUACAUUGAAAUGUACCGUUUUUCAAUGGUCUGAACGUUUAAAAAAAACCCUGCUUUUAAGUAAUUUCGAAACAGUGUGUAUCGAUGACAGCCAAGUUUUUUUGUUAUCAGUUUGGUCGUCGGCGGUAAAAUUUUUCGAAGUGCAGGUUCGUCUGCGGAAAAUGUGGAAAAUUCACGCUCAACUGCGUGAAUUUUCCGCACGGGAGUGAUUAUAGUGUGCGGUGCACUGUAAAAGCAUACAACAGUAGCAGCAUUUCAACAGGAGUCGCAAGGACAUGAAGCCUGUGUAGGAGCAGUUAGCUCACAGCUUGUUCGAUCGCAUUGCGGUCGAAGGAAUGCGCACGAUUAGGACUGAUCGCUGCAUAGACGAGAACUAGGAGCGCUGAGAAGAGAACGGGGAUGCGGAAUUCUGGAUCAAGGAACUUUGUGGUUUUAUUUUGAAAGCACCGAUCGGUUCAGUAGUUUCCGAGUCUAUUAGGGUCAGACAGACAGACAUACAUUAGUAACUCAUUUUUAUAUAUAAAGAUAGAUAGAUGGAUACCAGGAUAGAUCAAGGGGAAUGACAUAUCCUUUUCUAACCGGAAUAUCCGCUUCUAACCGUCGCUAACCGUUGCUAAGCGAGCUGCUAAGUGAGCAGAAGUUAGACGCGGUUAGCGACGGUUAGAAAAGGAUAAAUGCGGAUAUUCCGGUUAGGAAAGGAUAUGUCAUUCCCCUUGGGAUAGAUAGAUAUUUCAAUUUUACCAUUCUAAUUUGACUGCAUUUUUUCCUUUACAUCAAACUCGUUCAGUGAAACAUGUUAUUUUUGUGUUAUUUUUUUUAAUAUUGGUUCGCUCUUCAAACCUGGAACGCAUGUAUAGUUUAUUAUCAAAUGUGACGAAAUUGCAUGCAAUCAUUCGUAAAUAACAAACGACUCACAAAUGUACCAUUUGAACGCUUCUUUGAAUUUGAACGAUCUUCUAAUAUAGGUUCAAGCUGUAGUAUAUCGAGUAUUUUUAAGUGCUACAAAAAAGGUUAAGCACGCUGUAAUGUUACUUUUGUACCUCAUCACCCAAUAAAUGCAACUACAUUAGUGGACUAAUAACACUUAGCGCGCUUAGGCACGGUUCCAUCAUGCCGCUUAUAGUGUUGCCACAUAUAAUGCUUAGUCUGCUAAACCCAGUUAUCUGGCUGUGGGGCAUGGGAGCCAAAGCUUCAACCAUCAUUGCAAUUAAACAUUACUCGAUUUACUACAUGAGUGAUCCAAAUAUUUGAUAAUUGUUCGAUCUGUUUUUGAAAUGUAGCUUAAAUUAUACAAGCUUCUAGUCUAAAUACAUAAUAAUAGUUCAGUUUUGCUUCAUUCCGGAUUUGCUCAAGCAGUUUAUAUUGUUUGUUAAGUUAAACUUAGAGGUUGAAGUUAGAAUUGUCUGAUUCACAAUAGAAAACAAUUUCCAAACCAUUCGAUUUAAUGUAAAAAUAGUGCAAAACAAUAUGUUCUGCAUCACAAUAGACAACAAUUCCAAAACAAUUGAAUCUAACGUGGAGCCAGUAAUAAAGUCACUGCUCAAAGCAACACGUUUACUGUACAUUUCACUGUUUAGAACAAUUUAAAAACAUAAGAAUCUUCUGUAUCACAAUAGGAAACAAUACCCAAACAAUUGAAUUCAAUGUAAAAGCAGUACAAACUGUAUGUUCUGCUUCACAAUAGAAAACAAUUUCAAAACAAUUGAAUCAAAUGUGGAACCAGAAAUAAAAUCACUACCCAAAACAAUA